GCACAGAUUCAAAUGCUUUCAGUAAUCAUGUCCAAAAAUAAAGCUCAGGGAACAAAAUGUGGCAUGUUUUAAACGCAGCAUAUAAGUGAGUGGUGAACUGUAAAUAAUAUACUUCAGUGAUACUGACGGAAAGGACAAAAGAAAAAGUGAGUGGGGAAACUGUUACUAUGGCUUCUGAAACUACUUAAUAUUUCAGCAGAACUCUGGACUCUUCACCUUCACCACUGAUAUGAAUCUCAGGCCCUCAUGCACUCUAUCAGAUCUAAAAAGUUGUUUCAUAUCAAUCACA